rnacentral:rRNA from 1 species
CAGCCGCCGCGGUAAUACCUGCAGCCCAAGUGGUGGUCGAUUUUAUUGAGUCUAAAGCGUUCGUAGCCGGUUUGAUAAAUCCUUGGGUAAAUCGGGAAGCUUAACUUUCCGACUUCCGAGGAGACUGUCAAACUUGGGACCGGGAGAGGCUAGAGGUACUUCUGGGGUAGGGGUAAAAUCCUGUAAUCCUAGAAGGACCACCGGUGGCGAAGGCGUCUAGCUAGAACGGAUCCGACGGUGAGGGACGAAGCCCUGGGUCGCAAACGGGAUUAGAUACCCCGGUAGUCCAGGGUGUAAACGCUGCCGACUUGGUGUUGGAGGCCCUUCGGGGGCAUUCAGUGCCGGAGAGAAGUUGUUAAGUCGGCCACUUGGGGAGUACGUCCGCAAGGAUGAAACUUAAAGGAAUUGGCGGGGGAGCACCGCAACGGGAGGAGCGUGCGGUUUAAUUGGAUUCAACACCGGAAAACUCACCAAGGGCGACUGUUACAUGAAAGCCAGGCUAAUGACCUUGCUUGAUUUUCAGAGAGGUGGUGCAUGGCC